GAGUUUGAUCGUGGCUCAGAUUGAACGCUGGCGGCAGGCUUAACACAUGCAAGUCGAGCGGGGAGAUUGCUUCGGUAAUUGACCUAGCGGCGGACGGGUGAGUAAUACUUAGGAAUCUGCCUAUUAAUGGGGGACGAACAUCUCGAAAGGGAUGCUAAUACCGCAUACGCCCUACGGGGAAAGCAGGGGAUCACUUGUGACCUUGCGUUAAUAGAUGAGCCUAAGUCGGAUUAGCUAGUUGGUGGGGUAAAGGCCUACCAAGGCGACGAUCUGUAGCGGGUCUGAGAGGAUGAUCCGCCACACUGGGACUGAGACACGGCCCAGACUCCUACGGGGGCAGCAGUGGGGAAUAUUGGACAAUGGGGGGAACCCUGAUCCAGCCAUGCCGCGUGUGUGAAGAAGGCCUUAUGGUUGUAAAGCACUUUAAGCGAGGAGAGGCUCCUGCAGUUAAUACCUACAGAGAGUGGACGUUACUCGCAGAAUAAGCACCGGCUAACUCUGUGCCAGCAGCCGUA
rnacentral:rRNA from 1 species